rnacentral:rRNA from 1 species
AGGAUUAGAUACCCGGGUAGUCCCAGCCCUAAACGAUGCGGGCUAGGUGUUGGAGGUGUCGACCCCUCCAGUGCUGCUAAGCUAACGCGUUAAGCCCGCCGCCUGGGGAGUACGGCCGCAAGGCUGAAACUCAAAGGAAUUGACGGGGGCCCGCACAAGCGGUGGAGCAUGCGGGUUAAUGGGAUGAUACGCCAAGAACCUUACCAGGGCUUGACAUGCCGGUGGUAGCGAUCAGAAAAGUGAGCGACCUGAGCAAUCAGGAGCCGGCACAGGUGGUGCAUGGUUGUCGUCAGCUCGUGCCGUGAGGUGUUGGGUUAAGUCCCGCAACGAGCGCAACCCCCGCCGUUUGUUGCCAGCGGGCGGCUUCGGCCGCGCCGGGCACUCAAACGGGACCGCAGGCGUAAGCUUGAGGAAGGAGGGGACGACGUCAAAUCUGCAUGCCCCUUAUGCCCUGGGCUGCACGCGUGCUACAAUGGCGGAGACAAAGGGCUGCUAAGCCGUAAGGUGGAGCCAAUCCCACAAACUCCGUUCCAGUUCGGAUCGGAGUCUGCAACUCGACUCCGUGAAGUCGGAAUCGCUAGUAACGGUGGAUCAGCCAUGCCACCGUGAAUACGUUCCCGGGCCUUGUACACACCGCCCGUCAACUCAGGGGAGUCGGUAGCACCCGAAGUCCGUCCUUGAGGCGGCCGAAGGUGAGACCGGCGACCAGGAGUAAGUCGUAACAAG